rnacentral:rRNA from 1 species
UACGAGGGGGGCAAGCGUUGUUCGGAAUUAUUGGGCGUAAAGGGUGCGUAGGCGGUCUGACAAGUCUGAUGUGAAAUCUAUGGGCUCAACCCAUAGUCUGCAUCGGAAACUGUCGGGCUUGAGUAUGGGAGAGGUGAGUGGAAUUUCCGGUGUAGCGGUGAAAUGCGUAGAUAUCGGAAGGAACACCUGUGGCGAAAGCGGCUCACUGGACCAUUACUGACGCUGAGGCACGAA